CCUACGGGAGGCAGCAGUGAGGUAUAUUGGUCAAUGGGGGAAACCCUGAACCAGCAAAGCCGCGUGAGGGAAGACGGUUUUCGGAUUGUACACCUCUUUCCUCUGUGGAGAUAAUGACGUUACCAGAGGAGGAAUCUCGGGCUACCUACGUUCCAGCAUCCGCGGUAAUACUUAGGGAGCAAGCGUUGUCAGGCUUGACUGGGUGUAAAGGGUGCGUAGGCGGCCCUGCAAGUCAGCAGGUAAAUCCAUGGGCUUAACCCGUGAACCGCUUUUGAAACUGUAGGGCUUGAGUGAAGUAGAGGCAGGCGGAAUGCCCGGUGUAGCGGUGAAAUGCGUAGAGAUCGGGCGGAACACCAGUGGCGAAGGCAGCAUGCUGGGCUUAAACUGACGCUGAAGCACGAAAGCGUGGGUAGCAAACAGGAUUAGAUACCCGAGUAGUC
rnacentral:rRNA from 1 species